UAGUCCACGCCGUAAACGAUGUGUGCUAGUUGUCGGGUCCUAAGGAUUCGGUGACGCCGCUAACGCAUUAAGCACACCGCCUGGGGAGUACGGCCGCAAGGUUAAAACUCAAAGGAAUUGACGGGACCCGCACAAGCGGUGGAGCAUGUUCUUUAAUUCGAAGCAACGCGCAGAACCUUACCAACCCUUGACAUACUUAUCGCGGUUUCCAGAGAUGGAUUCCUUCAGUUCGGCUGGAUGAGAUACGGGUGCUGCAUGGCUGUCGUCAGCUCGUGUCGUGAGAUGUUCGGUUAAGUCCGGCAACGAGCGCAACCCACAUCCUUAGUUGCCAGCAGUUCGGCUGGGCACUCUAGGGAAACUGCCCGUGAUAAGCGGGAGGAAGGGUGUGGGAUGACGUCAAGGUCCUCAUGGGCCCUUACGGGGUUGGGGCUACACACGUGCUACAAUGGCAGUGACAAUGGGUUAA
rnacentral:rRNA from 1 species